UACGUAGGGCGCAAGCGUUGUCCGGAAUUAUUGGGCGUAAAGAGCUCGUAGGCGGUUUGUCGCGUCUGCUGUGAAAACCUAAGGCUCAACCUUGGGCUUGCAGUGGGUACGGGCAGACUAGAGUGCGGUAGGGGUGACUGGAAUUCCUGGUGUAGCGGUGAAAUGCGCAGAUAUCAGGAGGAACACCGGUGGCGAAGGCGGGUCUCUGGGCCGAUACUGACGCUGAGGAGCGAAAGCGUGGGGAGCGAACAGG
rnacentral:rRNA from 1 species